rnacentral:rRNA from 1 species
UAACGAGGCGAACCGGGAGAACUGAAACAUCUAAGUACCCCGAGGAAAAGAAAUCAACCGAGAUUCCCUCAGUAGCGGCGAGCGAACGGGGAUUAGCCCUUAAGUUUCUUGGAAGUUAGUGGAAUGGUCCUGGAAAGGCCAGCGAUACAGGGUGAUAGCCCCGUACAUGAAAACGACCUUGAAGUGAAAUCGAGUAGGGCGGGACACGUGACAUCCUGUCUGAAUAUGGGGGGACCAUCCUCCAAGGCUAAAUACUCCUGACUGACCGAUAGUGAACCAGUACCGUGAGGGAAAGGCGAAAAGAACCCCUGUGAGGGGAGUGAAAUAGAACCUGAAACCGUGUACGUACAAGCAGUGGGAGCCCUUCGGGGUGACUGCGUACCUUUUGUAUAAUGGGUCAGCGACUUACAUUUUGUAGCGAGGUUAACCGUAUAGGGGAGCCGUAGGGAAACCGAGUCUUAACUGGGCGUCUAGUUGCAAGGUGUAGACCCGAAACCGGGUGAUCUAGCCAUGGGCAGGUUGAAGGUUGAGUAACAUCAACUGGAGGACCGAACCCACUAACGUUGCAAAGUUAGGGGAUGACCUGUGGCUGGGGGUGAAAGGCCAAUCAAACUCGGAGAUAGCUGGUUCUCCCCGAAAGCUAUUUAGGUAGCGCCUCGGACGAAUACUACUGGGGGUAGAGCACUGUUUGGACUAGGGGGUCAUCCCGACUUACCAACUCCAUGCAAACUCCGAAUACCAGUAAGUAAUAUCCGGGAGACACACGGCGGGUGCUAACGUCCGUCGUGAAGAGGGAAACAACCCAGACCGCCGGCUAAGGUCCCAAAGUUCUGGUUAAGUGGGAAACGAUGUGGGAAGGCUCAGACAGCUAGGAUGUUGGCUUAGAAGCAGCCAUCAUUUAAAGAAAGCGUAAUAGCUCACUAGUCGAGUCGGCCUGCGCGGAAGAUGUAACGGGGCUCAAACCAGGCACCGAAGCCGCGGAUUCACACUUAUGUGUGAGUGGUAGGGGAGCGUUCUGUAAGUCUGCGAAGGUGUAUCGAGAGGUAUGCUGGAGAUAUCAGAAGUGCGAAUGCUGACGUAAGUAACGAUAAAGGGGGUGAAAAGCCUCCUCGCCGGAAGACCAAGGGUUCCUGUCCAACGUUAAUCGGGGCAGGGUGAGUCGACCCCUAAGGUGAGGCCGAAAGGCGUAAUCGAUGGGAAGCAGGUUAAUAUUCCUGCACGACUUGUAAUUGCGAUGGGGGGACGGAGAAGGCUAGGUGGGCCAGGCGACGGUUGUCCUGGUGAAAGUGCGUAGGUGGUGUUUCUAGGCAAAUCCGGAGACACAACACUGAGACACGAGACGAAGCCACUACGGUGGUGAAGCCAUUGAUGCCCUGCUUCCAGGAAAAGCCUCUAAGCUUCAGAUUACAAGUCAUCGUACCCCAAACCGACACAGGUGGUCGGGUAGAGAAUACCAAGGCGCUUGAGAGAACUCGGGUGAAGGAACUAGGCAAAAUAGAACCGUAACUUCGGGAGAAGGUUCGCUCUUGACAGUGAAGUCCCU